UUUCUUUAUCUUUUGAGAAGAAUUCAAGUUGAAGCCUCAAGAAUUAUUGAUGAAUCAAGAUUUUACUUUGUUUCUACCGAUCGUUUUUAUCAAGAGGUGAUAACUCGCGCUCUCAACGUGAUGCAAAUGGAAGAUCGUACUCGAGAUCUAAGCCGUUGAGGUUGAGCAGCGACGAGCGGUUGGCGGUGUUGAGCAAGUUAAUUGAAUAAUAUGGUCGUUUUGAAACUCCGAGUGUAGUUGUGUCUUCAUACAUGACUUCACUCUUCUCUUGGAUGCUUUCGCUGAAACAUGAAACUUCUUAUCGUUUGAUUGUGUUUGAAACUAUUUCAUUUUGUUUAGAAUAUUAAGACAUG